UACAGAGGUCUCGAGCGUUGUUCGGAUUCAUUGGGCGUAAAGGGUGCGUAGGUGGCGCUGUAAGUCGGGUGUGAAAUCCUGAGGCUUAACCUCAGAACUGCAUUCGAUACUGCGGCGCUUGAGGACUGGAGAGGAGACUGGAAUUCAUGGUGUAGCAGUGAAAUGCGUAGAGAUCAUGAGGAAGACCAGUGGCGAAGGCAGCGACCUGGGUAGAUACUGACGCUGAGGUGCGAAAGCGUGGGGAGCAAACAGG
rnacentral:rRNA from 1 species